CUGCUAGAUUCCACAGCACAUAUGCUAAAAUUGCAAUAAUACAGAGAAUAUUAGCCUGGCCCCUGCACAAGGAUGACAUGAAAACUUAUUAAGAAAACCAAGAAAAA
ensembl:snRNA U6 U6 spliceosomal RNA